AGCUUGCUCUCGGGUGACGAGCGGCGGACGGGUGAGUAAUGUCUGGGAAACUGCCUGAUGGAGGGGGAUAACUACUGGAAACGGUAGCUAAUACCGCAUAAUGUCGCAAGACCAAAGUGGGGGACCUUCGGGCCUCAUGCCAUCAGAUGUGCCCAGAUGGGAUUAGCUAGUAGGUGGGGUAACGGCUCACCUAGGCGACGAUCCCUAGCUGGUCUGAGAGGAUGACCAGCCACACUGGAACUGAGACACGGUCCAGACUCCUACGGGAGGCAGCAGUGGGGAAUAUUGCACAAUGGGCGCAAGCCUGAUGCAGCCAUGCCGCGUGUGUGAAGAAGGCCUUCGGGUUGUAAAGCACUUUCAGCGGGGAGGAAGGCGUUAAGGUUAAUAACCUUGUCGAUUGACGUUACCCGCAGAAGAAGCACCGGCUAACUCCGUGCCAGCAGCCGCGGUAAUACGGAGGGUGCAAGCGUUAAUCGGAAUUACUGGGCGUAAAGCGCACGCAGGCGGUCUGUCAAGUCGGAUGUGAAAUCCCCGGGCUCAACCUGG
rnacentral:rRNA from 1 species